UCUGGCUUGUUACAAUGGUGUGUUGCUGUGUAAUAUGACUUCUCCCAGCCUGAACAGGACUAUGUAAGUCAAUCUUUACCAGGCCUGCCAAUCAUGAUAACCAGAAGAGACAACAGUUAUAGGGACAAUAUGGAUUAUUUUAUGGAGCUGGCAAGAAUCCAAAAAGGAGAACUUAGGAGGAGGUAAACUCUGAAAAGCUUUCUCAUGGGAAAAAGUCAAGGGAUCAUUUACGACAACUGCAUUAAACAUUACAGGAUGCCAACAAAUGAACACGGAUUGAGGAUCUUCAGUCCUGGAUCUAGACCCGGUAGAUCAAACUCAGACCCAGCAUACAGACC